ACGUUCCUGUGAUGAACACUUCUGAGAUGGUGACACGCAUGUCUCCGGGAUCUCUGGUAACUAAAGAGUGCUUGAAUGUCACAUACAACGCCAUUGACACUAAUCUCCAGGAAAUAAAAGUGAUUUACACUGUCAAAGGUUUUACUGCAGAUGAGACCUCUCCAACUCUGUGGAUCACGAAUGGUUCCAUCGGUGUCAUUGUCUUAUGUACAGUCAUUUGUGUACUGGGGUGGUGGAAAAAGCGGUACUUCAGAUGCUGUCACAGGAAUCCUCAGGACAGCCAGGAGCCAACGGCCAACAGAGAACUGGACCAGGUGCUCGUGCCAGUCCAAGGUGGAAA
rnacentral:lncRNA from 1 species